rnacentral:misc_RNA from 1 species
AGCUUCCAUAUCAAACUAAAAUCCAUAAACACUCAACAACCAACUAUAAUGUAAGAAUUUUUUUUUUUAAAAUACAAUCUUGCAUUUAAAAACCUAAAAGGCAAUAUACACAAAGAGUCUUAUAAAUAUCUGAAAAGGAAAAAAAAAAUCUCAUUAAGAAUGGUCAAUCACAAGCCCACCCAAACAAUCAACCUGAAGUAGUCAAAGACUCAACUUAGAUGCCAAAAACCCAAAUCAAAUCACACUCCAUCUUUAAAAUCCUAUAUCUCUUAACAUAACACUAUCACCGUCCAUCACCGUUGCUUGUCACCAUUAGAGGGGCUGAACUCAUAUUGAAGCCAUACAUCAUCAGCAACCAAUAGGCAACUAAAGUUGUCCUUCCAAGCAUAGCUACCCAACUACAACACACCAAAUUUUCCAAAUUCUCAUCAGAAAACAAAGAAACUAACCCUGCAUCGACAAAAGGGGGUUGCUGUAGAGCUCUUCGCAUACUAAGUCAUCAGGAAGGCCUUCCCAACGAUGGUGUAGAAGCAUUUUCCGAAGAUGCAAAACAACAUAAUGCAAGGAGACUUUUCCACCGAGCAAAACCAAACCCACAGACCCAAGAAACGAGAUACUCACUAGAUAUCCAAAACUACUAUGAGCCAUCACCAUCACAGUUCUAAACUAGAGACCACAUCCCUAGAUCCAGCACACAAACACUACAAAUAAGCCCUUUCAAUGAAUAUCAAUUUACAUGCAACCACACCCAACACAAAAACACCAGACUCUAUGCAUCCUAACUUAAUUAGGGAAGGGCAAUCCCUAAAAGUUAGGCCGGAGAGCCAAAACCCAAGCCUUCCUUUGCCCAGAGGCAGGGGGGGAGGAAAUGAAAAGCUAAUAGAAGAAAAUGGAAGA